AGGGGUAUCGCCAAGCGGCAAGGCAAAGGACUUUGACUCCUUCAUCGAUGGUUCGAUUCCAUCUACCCCUGCCA
rnacentral:tRNA from 1 species